AAGGAUCAUUACCGAGUAUUGGGUCUUCGGGCCCGCACUCCAACCCUCUGUGUACCAAACUUUGUUGCUUUGGCGGGCCCGCGGUGUCAUGCCGCAGCCGGCUCUUGCUGGCCAGUGCCCGCCAGAGAACCGUUAAACUCUUGUUUAAACAGCGUCGUCUGAGCAAAAUUUAAUAAUUAAAACUUUCAACAACGGAUCUCUUGGUUCUG
rnacentral:misc_RNA from 1 species